GCUAACUGAUGCAUGCUAGUUGCUUCUAACUAAGCACAAACAAACUAACCCUUCCGUGGCAGAAGGGAAUGACACUUUGCAAAUUAACCGCAUGCUCUCCCGUUUCCUUGCAGGUGCCCUGACUCUGGCGCUCCCACCUGGUGAUGACCGACGGAGCGCUGACAGGCACAUCCAGGGCAUGGCUGCUCCCCCGCGCCCCGCCCUCCCCAAACAUCUCUGACGGACGGUUGGCUGCAGCCCAGGAAGCACCGUCGCGCCGCGGCCUGCAUCCCAGCCCCGCCCCUCCGAGCGGGAAGGAGGGCUGUGUGGAAUGCUCCAGCUCCCUCGCCAGCCUAAACGCAAGCCCGCUCUUUCCAGUGCAAUAAAACGAGAUGUACAACAA